CAGGGGUCUGGGGUUACCCCGGGAACUGGGGAUAAUACUGGAUAGGCCAAGAGUAUUGGAAGGUUUUUUGGCUGAAACCUCUGGGGCCUUUGGAUGGGUCUGCGGCUGAUUAGGUUGUUGCCGGUGUAAUGUACCGUCAAGCCUGUAAUCAGUACGGGUUGUGGGAGCAAGAGCCCGGAGAUGGAUUCUGAGACACGAAUCCAGGCCCUACGGGGCGCAGCAGGCGCGAAAACUCUACAAUGCAGGCAACUGCGAUAGGGGAACAUCGAGUGGCGCUCAUAUUGGGCGUCUGUCCACCUGUCUAAAAAACGGGUGUUAGCAAGGGCCGGGCAAGACCGGUGCCAGCCGCCGCGGUAAUACCGGCGGCUCGAGUGGUGGCCGAUAUUAUUGAGUCUAAAGGGUCCGUAGCCGGCUUUGCAAGUCUCUCGGGAAAUCCAGCGGCUUAACCGUUGGGCGUCCGGGGGGUACUACAUUGCUUGGGACUGGGAGAGGUAGGAGGUACUCAGGGGGUAGGAGUGAAAUCCUGUAAUCCUCUGGGGACCACCGGUGGCGAAGGCGUCCUACCAGAACAGGUCCGACGGUGAGGGACGAAAGCUAGGGGCACGAACCGGAUUAGAUACCCGGGUAGUCCUAGCCGUAAACGAUGCUCGCUAGGUGUCACGACAAUCGUGAAUUGUCGUGGUGCCGUACGGAAGCCGUGAAGCGAGCCACUUGGGAAGUACGACCGCAAGGUUGAAACUUAAAGGAAUUGGCGGGGGAGCAC
rnacentral:rRNA from 1 species